rnacentral:rRNA from 1 species
AAGUCGAGCGAAGCUUUUUAGUAGUUUACUACUAGAAAUGACUGAGCGGCGAACGGGUGAGUAACGCGUGAGCAAUCUACCUUAGUUACUGGGAUAGCCCGAGGAAACUCGGAUUAAUACCAGAUAUUCUUAUUUUUUCACAUGAAGUUUUAAGGAAAGGUCAGCCGAACUAAGAUGAGCUCGCGUUCUAUCAGCUAGUUGGUGGGGUAAAAGCCUACCAAGGCUACGACGGAUAGCUGGUCUGAGAGGACGAUCAGCCACACUGGGACUGAGACACGGCCCAGACUCCUACGGGAGGCUGCAGCAGGGAAUAUUGUGCAAUGAGCGAAAACUUGACACAGCGACACCGCGUGUGGGAUGACGGUUCUAGGAUUGUAAACCACUUUCAGGAGGGAAGAAAAUGACGGUACCUCCACAAGAAGACCCGGCCAACUAUGUGCCAGCAGCCGCGGUAAUACAUAGGGGUCAAGCGUUGUCCGGAUUUAUUGGGCGUAAAGAGCUCGUAGGCGGUUCAACAAGUCGGUCGUAAAAGUUUAGGGCUCAACCCUAAAAUGUCGAUCGAUACUGUUGUGACUAGGAUACGGUAGAGGUGAAUGGAAUUCCGAGUGUAGCGGUGAAAUGCGUAGAUAUUCGGAGGAACACCAAUUGCGAAGGCAGUUCACUGGACCGUGAUCGACGCUGAGGAGCGAAAGCUAGGGGAGCAAACAGGAUUAGAUACCCUGGUAGUCCUAGCUGUAAACGAUGGAUACUAGAUGUAGGAACUUGGAUUGACGGUUUCUGUAUCGUAGCUAAACGCGUUAAGUAUCCCGCCUGGGGAGUGCGGUCGCAA